rnacentral:lncRNA from 1 species
GUGGGAAGUCUGGCCGAAGAAGGCUGCUAUCUCCUUCUUCCUCAUGGCAAGGUCUCCGGUGUUCCCGAAACUCGGGAAAGACUUAGCCGCGGUGAUGAAGGCGUCAUAAGUGAAGAAACCAACAGCAUGACAAUCAUUGUCGUUCAUGUGCUUAAGCAUUUUAUAGAACUGAUCUCUUGAAAUGAUGCCAGAAAGAUCACCGCUGGGACCAGGAGGAGUGGGACCAGGAGGGGUAGGACUAGGAGGAGUGGGAGUAGGAGGAGUGGGAGUGGGAGCAGGAGGAGUGGGAGUGGGAGUGCACUGGCUUUGGCAACCAUGCCCGCAGUAAGCUUCGGUGGUGCCGCACCAUCCAGCCUCGCUACAGCAUAGACCGUUGGGGCAGAGGGCUCCCGCGGGUAUGGAUUGACGACCACACUGCGGGGUUGAAGGAGGAGGAUAGGGACCAGGAUUGCACUGGCUUUGACAACCAUGCCCGCAGUAAGCUUCGGUGGUGCCGCACCAUCCAGCCUCGCUGCAGCAUAGACCGUUGGGGCAGAGGGCUCCCGCGGGUAUGGAUUGACGACCACACUGCGGGGUUGGAGGAGGAGGAUAGGGACCAGGAUUGCACUGGCUUUGACAACCAUGCCCGCAGUAAGCUUCGGUGGUGCCGCACCAUCCAGCCUCGCUGCAGCAUAGACCGUUGGGGCAGAGUGCUCCCUCGGGUAUGGAUUGACUACCGCAUUGCUCACCGGAGGAAAAUGAUAAGAGAAGUGAGAAGAUGAGAAGGAGAAGGAGAUAAGUCUUCAUGUUUCUCUGAGCUGUAUGGUUGUUUUAAGAGGCAAGUAAGGGUAUAUAUAGCAACAUGCAAUGUACAAUCAGUUAGUGUUAAAUCACAUCGAAUUUUAUAGACUUGUUUUUAUGUUUUCUAGACUUCUAUUAUUUUUCUGGUAAAAAAAAAAAGAUGAUUUCACCUCUUUGAGAAUCCAAGCAUUAUAAAUAGUCUUUUCCACCGUGAAUUGAACCCGGGUGGCAAUAGAUACAACCGUAACUCCUUUAUUACUAGGCCAACUGACCGUUAGUAAAAAAUUGUGGUUUCACCUUUUUACCGGAAACCCAAACAUUCUAGACUUCCAUUUUGUCACCACCAAGUUCAUUUGGCAAGUUUAUCUAAUGGUCUAUAGAAUAUUUCUACAAGAUAGCUGGACCACCCUCUCUCUAGCUCAUGAGUCACUAGAGGGACCACCCUCUCUGACGUUCACGAAUCACUGCUACCAUAAAUUAAUUCAAUAUAAGGUGGGUUCGCUUGAUAGAAUCGAAGAUAAGCAGUGCUGGUUUGUUUUUAUGUUUACUAUACUUAAAUACUAAUUGUUCUAAAAUUUGCCACCACCUUCAUUUCGCACAUUUACCUCAUUGUCUAUAUAGAAUUUGUCUAACACGAUAUAUGAUGGACCACCCUCUCUCUACCUCAUGAGUCACUACUCACUAGCUGGACCACACUAUCUCUAGCAGAGUCACUAGCUGCUGGACUACCCUCUCUGAAGCUCAGGAGUCACUGACUGUACCACCCUAAUUAAGGCUCAUGAAUCACAUACCCUCCAAUAGGAUGGGUUCGCUUGAUACGAUGGAAGAUGAAGUUUAUGAGAAGAGAUGGAAGAGGAUGAUGCGCUUUUGACGGACAUGUUUUUUUUUGUUGUUUUAGCGAGAAAAUAUAUUUUAUGGUUUUGGCGAAAAUAUGUGUGUUUACAAUUUUGGUGGAAAAUUAUAAUUGUUUUUGAAACUUGUUGAGAAACUAUAUCACAAUUAUCAUGUUUGUCUAAUUUGAAUAUAAUUUUUGUUAAAAUAAAGGUGAAAUUGUCAUUUGUUAUUUUGGACUCUUCUGGAUGGAUUAUUUGGAUGAAUUUUAUUUAAAAUUAAAAUCUUAAAGUUUAUCAGGAUGGAUCAUUUGGAUGAUUCCUAUGUUAACGGCAAACAUAUUUGUUUUUAGAGCAUUCUCAAUAUAUUUUUAAACAUUUAAAUUUUGAGAUUUUUAACUUUUUAACAGAUUUUUAAACCUUCUAAUUUUAAAGGUAUGAAUAGUAAAACCUCAUAUUUGAGAUUCUAUUAUUCUAUUAUUCUAUUAUUCAAAAUUUUAAAAUGAUAUUUAUUUUUUAUUUUAGUUUUUAUGAUUUAGUAACUUACAUAUAAUUAUAUUAAUAUUAUUUUUAUAUCAUUUUAUUUUUUUUGAAAAAUUUAUCACUUUAAUUUUUAUAAUUAUAUUUUACCUAAAUAUUCAAGUAUAUAUUCACAUAUAUAUAUAUUACUAUAUAAAAUAUAUUAUUAUGUAAAGAAAAAAACAAAAAAAAAACACAAUUUUCAUCUUAAAUUACUAUAUAAAAUAUAGGGAAAUUGCACCCAGUAAACACAAAAAAAAAACAAAAUUCACUAACUAACUAAAAACACCCCUUCUCUCCUACUUUCUCUUCCUAUCUCUCUCUACUCUCUCUCUAAAAAUCUAAUUUCACUUUUUUUUUGGCUAUUUAGCAAAUAAGCCCUAAAAUAUAAUAUUAUGUACACGUAACUUGAAAGAAUCACGUGGUGACGGAAAAUAUAUGAAUGUGGGGCGGCGUUUCAAAAAGAGAACAGCCAUGACCAUUUUCUCAUAUAAUACUAGGGUCGGUCCGCAAUACGGAUGGGAUAUACUUUAUUUGUGAUUUUGGUUUUUAUUCCUUUGUAUGAUUUUGUGAUUUGUGUUUUAGAUUUGCAUUUGUAUUUAUAAAUGAUGUGUAUAAUAAUGAUAUUUCUCUAUUAGAAAAUUUUAAGUGAUGAGGGAUAUUACAUUCAUUUUAGUUAAUGUUGGAUGUUGUUUAUUUUUCUAACUUGUUUAUGUUUUUUUAUUUGUUUUCAAAUACAUUUUUUGACAUUGUACUAUUUUAUUAUUAUCUUUCCUUUUUGUUAUGUUUUUUUAUAAUGAACAAAUAUUUUUAUAUCAUCUUCACAUAUAUCUAACUAAAAUCUUUUAUUUUUUUAUUUUUUUAUUAGUGUUAUUAGAGAUUAUAAGUUUGUAUUAGUAUGACAUGAUGUUCAUGAUUGAAAUGGUAUUAUACGUUUUCUUAAAUGUUUGCUCAACUUUUCUUAUAUAUAGUAAGUAGAUUUCAGUUUUUAUUGUUGUGGUUAGAUUUAAUACUCAAAAUAUUGAUUAUUUUAUAUAGUUUUUCAACAUUGUACGUGGGUUUUAUAUUUUUUAUUCUUAUUAAAAUAUUUGUAUAUUUAUGUAUUAACAUAUUAACAUGAUUAUUUAUUUUAAAAUUCAAAAUAAACCAAUCUACAUCUUUUUGCUAAUAAUAUAUAAAUAGUUAAUUUUUUAUUUAUUGGUUCAGUAAUUUCACAUUUAUUAGAAUAAUUUACUUAUAACUAAUAUUUAAAAGAAAUAAUUGGAUAGACAACAAAUCAAAUUUAGAAUCUAGCUAUUACUUUGUAUGUUAUAACUAUAUAAAUUUUAUGCAUUUUACCAGUUUUUAAAAAUAUUUUAUUCUGCUAAUAUGAAAUCUAAUUAAAGAUUGAGAGUGAGUGUCGUAUCCAUAAUGUUUACUCAUGGCCGUAACAAAAAAAAAACAUUAAGCCCAUAAUUAUUGGACAAAUACACAACACACGCAAAUCCAAUAUGAUUUCCAAUUAAAUGAAUCGCAGCGUUAGCACAGGGGGACAUGUGUUGUCUCUCAGAAAGCGAGUUUCCAGCUGGAUAACCUAGAAGUGAAGCAAACAAUUAUAUAUAUAUAUAGAUAGAUUCGUUCUUAAGUCCUUGACAUAAUAAAUUUCUAAGUUCUAACAACUCAUGAGUCAUGACCAUUUUCUUUUUAUAUAUUCUGUGUAGCGGUCCUCUUUAAUCCAAUAGUUUUAUUAACAAUUUAGAAUAUUUUUACAUUAAAAAUCUGCUUUUCGAUAAUUUUUUUUUUGACUGAUGCAUUUCGAAUCUUAAAAACAAUUUUUUUAACAACUAAGCCAAUUUUUUCAAAAAAUAAAACAAAAAUGUGCACCAUACUUAAAGUAAAACUGUAGAUGUAAAUUCAUAUAAAAUAAUUUAAAAUGAUGUAAAUAGAACAGUAUAAUCAUCAAUGUAAUAAUUCACAUAAUUUGUAACAGAAUAAUAACUUAGUUCUUGAAAAAAUAUUUUAUCUAAGGUGCAAGUGUUAAUCGGAAUGAAUGUCUUAUUUGUCGUUGAACAACAAUGGCUCCUUUAAAACAAGCUUACUAUCAGGUUCAACUUCAGUGUGUGAUGAGUUUUUCGCAUUACACCUUCUCCAUAAGCUUGAACUGCUGCUCUCUUCAACAUUCGUGGGUGUCUGGUUCUUGCUCUCGACGUAAUGAAGACAGACUUGGACAGCAUCGUGUACUCUCACAAAGUACCAUUCUUUGCCAAUAAGCUCCACAAUCCCUGAUCUUGCCAGAGUCAAUAAAACCUCUUUGUUCGGGUUCGAAAUCGCAAGCUGCUCCAUUGAAAACCAACACAAUUAUCACAUAGGCUUUCCAAAAUUAGAAGAAGCAAGUUACUAAAAAUGAAGGAUGAUGAUUACCUGAAUGUCCCUUGUUUUGUACUCCUGGUACAGUUCUUUUAAGGCUUCCACGGCGCUUGAGUCUAUGUAUGUGACAGCUGCAUAACAUCCAAAUUCUUCAAUACCCAUUAAUGUAAGGUUCGAACUUUGAAUCAGAUAAAGUUGGGGCUUACGAGACAUUUCCAGGAUAAGAAAGUAGAUCCUCUCCACCUCUGGUCCUUUAUUAGUGUGUUUAUCAAAAGCUACUUCAUAUUCUCUUAGCCUGCGAUUUUAGUGAACAAAGGGUUGUGUUUAAUUCUUUCUGUGGGAUCAUAACAGAAGGCAAGUCAGUAACCAAAUGUCACUUUCACCUGUCUUUGAUGUAGCUUAUGUUGGCAAAAUAUAUGGGAGCAUCGACUCGAACAAUCACAAUCCCAUUGUAAGUGUACGCUUCUGGAUACUGCUUCAUGUUUCUGUACACAGUGGUUCCUGGAAGACGGCCCAAAACGGCUGCCAAACAUAUGUAAUGGAACGUAAUCAAGAAGAGGACUUAAUACCAUUGAUCUCAACGCUGAAUCUCUCGACCUAAAGGAGACCAAACCGGCACCAGUCGCAGCCACUGACACAGCCACGGCCUCGGAGGAAUAUACUUGCUGGUCUAUGGAAUUAGGCACAAUAGAUCCAGCACAGUUUGCAAGUUUGGGUAAGAGGAUAGACGAGGACGAGGAAGAUUAUGACGAAGAAGUUUAAGGCAAAGCAGCACCAAGUAGGAUUUAAAUAGAGUAGUUUGUCUAGAAAAUGCUUCUUCUUCACUGUUUCCAUGUAUUGUAUUAAGAAUCCUUAUUUAUUUAUCCUGAUAUGUUAUUUAAGAUUUGCCUAAGAAGUUUAUGCUAAAACUUAAAAAGAUCUUACAGCGUAAGCAAACACUGUUCGACCAUGGUGACCAUUCUGGAAACAAAAAAAACGAAUAAAACCGACUGGUGACCAUUCUGAAAACAAAAAACACGAUUAGAAAAUAAAUCCGGUUCUUGUAACCAAGUUUAUACUACGAUAUGCUUAACACUCGAGAUGAGGGAUGCAUGGAGAAAGAUAAAUCAAGAUUACUUCCAGGAUUACUUAUCAAACACGUUACUUAAUAAUAAGAUUAUCAUAAAAGGAGUUUUAUUUAGUUUGAUAUUCUCUUAUUGCAUGGAUACAACAAAGCUGCAUUAACACUCUUUUUUUUUUUUAACACUCCUUAUUAGAUAGCAGCAUCCAAGAAAACGUUAAUUCCUUCACUAAACGGCCUUUGUUUGUCACAGUCAACAUUACUUCCAGGAUCAACACCAAACAUGCCACAAUACCUCGUAUAAAACGAUAUCCGAUCUUCGACCUGUGCGACAUUGCGACCAGCACACUCUAAUCCACCGUUAAUGAUAUUGGUAAUCACUCCAUAACCUGGUAAUCUCCCCGCUGAAAUGUCGGCAGCCGACGGCUGCCACUGGUCGGUGAUCACAUCGUGGCAAGACGGUUUAGGAGCCUGAGGAGUCAUCCAGAACCAAAUUGCGGUUUCGAAAGCGAUCACUGGGUCGCUGGACGCAAUAGCUGGCCUGCGUAGUAAGUCGAGUCCUAGGUCUCUCCCGCACUGUCCAUAAUUGUAGUUCCAAGACAGCAUCAUUGGUCCUCUUCCGUAGUAAAAUUGGCCAGGUGCGCAUGGCCACUCGAGGUUGUUGCUAUCACAGUAGGGAUUGCUUUUGCCAAUUUCGUCCUUGAAACAGUAGCCCCAUGUAUUUGCUCCGUCUGGUGCAUCCGUCCACCCACCUUCAACAUGUUACUUAUAUAUUAUAGUCCCAACUUUUCAAUAUGUUAAGCUUUUAUCGAAAAUACCCUAUGAUAAGAGUAAUUCUUGGGUUCACCCCCUAGGGUGAUUUAUCCAAGGGUUCAGAGUUUACCCAAGGGUUUAGGGUUUAGUGAUUAGGAUUUAGGGUUUAGUGUUAUUAAAAUUUAGUUUUUAAUGUAUGAUUUAGGGUUUAAGAUUUUCAAACGUUUAGAGUUUAUCCAAAGUUUAAGGUUUAGGGUUUAAGAUUUAGGGUAUAUGGUUUAGUAUUUUGCUAAAGAUUUAAAAUAUUUAUUUAUUUAUUUUUUGUAACUAUUUUUAUGUAUUUUUAUUGUUUUAUUUUAAAAAGAUAAUCUUAUUUGGAAAUUCAAUGUUGUUUCCUUUUUUAAAAGAUAUCAAAUAUCAAAUAAUCAAACACUAUUGGUUGGUGAACCUAGAGGUUCACCCUAGGGGGUGAACCCAAAAAUUACUCCUAUGAUAAACAUCAAAAUACAUUCUUAGUCAUUUUUAUUUUAGAAAUGUUCCUUUUGUAUGUUAUUUUUAUCGUAAAAUUCCUCCAUCCAUUUUCCUCGUAUAUCAUUUAUUAAACAGAUUAAAAUAAUAAAAAGUGGGUUUUCUUUUGAAAUUGGGAUAGGAUGCGACGAAAGUUUCUAAUGUUUUGUUUGGUUGUGCCCGUUACGUACGUCAGUAUAUAAUUUUUAUAUAAAUUUGAAAUUUUCUAAUAUAAUGGCUAUAUUAUUUUGAACAAAAACAUUUUGUUUGCGUUUGGUGUUUGGCUGUUUUUUUUUUGCUGUUUAUUAAAACAAAUUAUUUUAUAUCAAAAAAUGUGUGUUUGUAUUUAAUAAACAAAUUAAUAGUAUUUUUAGUUGUUUUUCAACUAAUUUUAAAACUUGUGUUGAAAAAAAUAAUAUCUAAACCGAAGUAUAGUGAUCAAUAAUUACCAGUGGUUUCGUGGGAAGUUUGGCCGAAGAAGGCUGCGAUCUCCUUCUUCCUUGUGGCAAGGUCUCCGGUGUUCCCGAAACUAGGGAAAAACUUAGCGGCGGUGAUGAAGGCGUCGUAAGUGAAGAACCCUCUAGCAGGACAAGCGUUAUCGUUCAUGUGCUUAAGCAUUUUAUAGAACUGAUCUCUUGAAAUGAUGCCCGAAAGAUCCCC